rnacentral:rRNA from 1 species
UACAGAGGUCUCAAGCGUUGUUCGGAUUCAUUGGGCGUAAAGGGUGCGUAGGUGGCGCGCUAAGUCAGGUGUGAAAUUUCGGAGCUUAACUCCGAAACUGCAUUUGAUACUGGUGUGCUUGAGGACUGGAGAGGAGACUGGAAUUCAUGGUGUAGCAGUGAAAUGCGUAGAGAUCAUGAGGAAGACCAGUGGCGAAGGCGGGUCUCUGGACAGUUCCUGACACUGAGGCACGAAGGCCAGGGGAGCAAACGGGG